rnacentral:rRNA from 1 species
CCCACUGGAAUGAGCCCGGUCCAGUCUCUUCGGAGGCAGCAGUGGGAAUUUGCCCAAUGGCGCAAGCCUGAUGCAGCCAUGCCGCGUUAUGAAGAAGCCUUCGGGUUGUAAAGUCUUUCAGCAGUGAGGAAGGUGGGUAUGUUAAUAGCAUAUUCAUUUGACGUUAGCUGCAGAAGAAGCACCGGCUAAUUCCGUGCCAGCAGCCGCGGUAAUACGGAGGGUGCGAGCGUUAAUCGGAAUUACUGGGCGUAAAGCGCAUGCAGGUGGUUUGUUAAGUCAGAUGUGAAAGCCCGGGGCUCAACCUCGGAAUUGCAUUUGAAACUGGCAAACUAGAGUACUGUAGAGGGGGGUAGAAUUUCAGGUGUAGCGGUGAAAUGCGUAGAGAUCUGAAGGAAUACCGGUGGCGAAGGCGGCCCCCUGGACAGAUACUGACACUCAGAUGCGAAAGCGUGGGGAGCAAACAGGAUUAGAUACCCUGGUAGUCCACGCCGUAAACGAUGUCUACUUGGAGGUUGUGGCCUUGAGCCGUGGCUUUCGGAGCUAACGCGUUAAGUAGACCGCCUGGGGAGUACGGUCGCAAGAUUAAAACUCAAAUGAAUUGACGGGGGCCCGCACAAGCGGUGGAGCAUGUGGUUUAAUUCGAUGCAACGCGAAGAACCUUACCUACUCUUGACAUCUACAGAAGCCAGCGGAGACGCAGGUGUGCCUUCGGGAACUGUAAGACAGGUGCUGCAUGGCUGUCGUCAGCUCGUGUUGUGAAAUGUUGGGUUAAGUCCCGCAACGAGCGCAACCCUUAUCCUUGUUUGCCAGCACUUCGGGUGGGAACUCCAGGGAGACUGCCGGUGAUAAACCGGAGGAAGGUGGGGACGACGUCAAGUCAUCAUGGCCCUUACGAGUAGGGCUACACACGUGCUACAAUGGCGCAUACAGAGGGCGGCCAACUUGCGAAAGUGAGCGAAUCCCAAAAAGUGCGUCGUAGUCCGGAUUGGAGUCUGCAACUCGACUCCAUGAAGUCGGAAUCGCUAGUAAUCGUGGAUCAGAAUGCCACGGUGAAUACGUUCCCGGGCCUUGUACACACCGCCCGUCACACCAUGGGAGUGGGCUGCAAAAGAAGUGGGUAGUUUAACCUUCGGGAGGACGCUCACCACUUUGUGGUUCAUGACUGGGGUGAAGUCGUAACAAGGUAACCG